rnacentral:rRNA from 1 species
UACAGAGACUGCAAGCGUUAUUCGGAUUCACUGGGCGUAAAGGGUGCGCAGGCGGCCGUGUGUGUGAGGCGUGAAAGCCCGGGGCUCAACCCCGGAAUUGCACCUCAAACUACAUGGCUAGAGCAUUGGAGAGGGUAGCGGAAUUCACGGUGUAGCAGUGAAAUGCGUUGAUAUCGUUAGGAACUCCGGUGGCGAAGGCGGCACGCUGGACCCUCACUGACGCUGAGGCGCGAAAGCCAGGGGAGCGAACGGG